CCGGCAUCUUACGCCAGAGAGUCUUCGUAAAGUGAAAGAGAUUAAACACUUAGAAAUGUUUGUGUUUACUGAACAGCUCCAGGGUGGAGUCCUAAAGCGAGGGGAUGACCCACUGCAGUGACAGUGAUGAGCAGAGUGAUGAUGGAGAAGAAAAACAAAACAAGAACCAGAAGAAGAAAGGAGGAAAGCAUGUGUCUUUCCCCCCUGAUGAACAGAUUAUAUCAGGCUUUGCUGAGCACAGGGACGAUGGCAGAAAGGUUGACAGCUGCCUCACCUUGACAGAGGUAAUGGUGGCGUACCAGCAGAGCUGCAGCAGACACCAGGUCCAACCCAGGGAGCACAUCCUGCAGCAGC